CUGGAAGCUGUUCUCUUUUCAUCUCCAAAUUAUUUCACACACAUUGCAUCGUGAAGUCUUCAGAACAUUUAAUCCUAAUGAAGUCGAAUAAUUUCAGACAUUUUAAGAUACUCCAGCAUUUUAGGAUUUGUCUCAGAGACUGUGUUACUCAGGGAAGCACGGCAGUCCUGAAUGCUUCACCUCUCUUCCCCCACAUGAGGUUCUAUGAGUAUUAAGAUGUGGAACUAAAUUCAUUCCCAGCCCUCAUUACGGGGGCAAUGAGAUUCUCCCUUGUGUAUUUAAACAUGAGUAGACAAACUGCACAGUACAUCUCUGACAGAGAAGCUGACAGAGAAGCUGAGCCUAAAAAGCAAAGAGAGCACAUCUUUUACAAUGUGGUGAUGCACAGGUGGGAGAAAGGCCU
rnacentral:lncRNA from 1 species